UAAGAAUGUACUGGGGAAGAAGU
rnacentral:piRNA from 1 species